rnacentral:rRNA from 1 species
UACGGAGGGGGCUAGCGUUGUUCGGAAUUACUGGGCGUAAAGAGCGCGCAGGCGGCUGGUCAAGUCCGACGUGAAAUCUCCCGGCUUAACUGGGAAAUUGCAUCGGAAACUGAUCGGCUUGAAGGUGGGAGAGGGUAGCGGAAUUCCCGGUGUAGUGGUGAAAUGCGUAGAUAUCGGGAGGAACACCAGUGGCGAAGGCGGCUACCUGGCCCAUUCUUGACGCUGAGGCGCGAAAGCUAGGGGAGCAAACGGG